GACGAACGCUGGCGGCGUGCUUAACACAUGCAAGUCGAACGGAAAGGCCCUGCUUGCCGGGUACUCGAGUGGCGAACGGGUGAGUAACACGUGGGUGCUCUGCCCUGCACUUCGGGAUAAGCCUGGUGAAAUGGGUCUAAUACCGGGUAGGAGCCAUUUUUAGUGUGAUGGUUGGAAAGUUUUUUCGGUGUAGGAUGAGCUCGCGGCCUAUCAGCUUGUUGGUGGGGUAAUGGCCUACCAAGGCGGCGACGGGUAGCCGGCCUGGGAGGGUGGACGGACACAUUGGGACUGGGGUCCGGCCCAGACUCCUACGGGAGGCAGCAGUGGGGAAUAUUGCACCAUGGGGGGAAGCCUGAUGCAGCGACGCCGCGUGGGGGAUGACGGGCUUCGGGUUGUAAACUCCUUUCGCUAGGGACGAAGCUUUUUGUGACGGUACCUAGAUAAGAAGCACCGGCUAACUACGUG
rnacentral:rRNA from 1 species